UGUUGAGCAGAUUUAAAGCCA
rnacentral:siRNA from 1 species